GGAGGACUUCAAGGAGUGGGCCAUCGAGGUUUUCACGGGAACCGUUGUGGGAAACGCGAGGAAAGCGAUAGCGAGUCGGAUUCCGUUAGGAAUCGCCGGAAUAGCUGGGAUCGGCGCCGUGACUCGGUCAGGACAGAACCUGAUCGGAGCCGCGAUUGGUGUGUACGCAGUUGGAGUUGCAACUUCGGUUUUUCUCAGCCUCUCUGACUAAAAAAAAACAUUAGUAGUGUUAUGUUUUGUUCUUCGCACGUGGUUCUGUUUCAAGAAAUGUACGGAGAUUUUCUUUGUAAACUGGUUCUGACAACUGAAAUGAGUUUGGUAAUGAACUAUGUGAUUGUUGUCUUUAAAUCUUCCCUUAAAUCUUGUAUAUAUCGGUACCCUAAAUUCUUAGCAAUCAUCUUUCUCAGCAUAUUCAUACAUUUAACUCCCCAAACUUGGUAAAAGACAUUAGGCAAACACUACUUUUUUUUGUCGGCAAAAUGGUAUUAACUUAAAAUAGGAUGUACGUUUUAAAUAUGUGUUGACUGCUCAUAUGUUGCAGAACUUUUUAUAUGGAUUUGGGUUACAAGAAGAAUGGGUUUGGCUAAACUCUAUCACCUUUUUGAUAGUUUAGACAUUGGAUUUGUAUGAGUGCCAUAAUUCUUUUUUUUUUGGUCGGUUGUUAAUUUAUUAUUCAUUUUGAAGUACUCAACUUAGAAAGAAUCUCAAUAUAUGAUUUUAAAAUUUUGAAUAGCUAAGUAUUGAUGUUCAAAGUAUCUAAUUAUAUAAAGGAGUGUUUUGCUAACUCCGUAGACUGCCACCUAGGAUUCCAGCUCAGAAAGUCGCUGUACAAAGAGUCGAUACGUGUCCCACCUGUCAAACGUCGCGUUUCAUUAAAAGAAUCAGCGAUAGCAGUCAACCCUAAUAGCACAAUGUUCAUCUCCGCUCUUUGUUCUUCGUCGUCUGAUCUUCUUUUUCAUCAACCAAAACGUUACCAGUUACAGAUUCGUCUCAUUAAACCUUUUCUUAACUCCAGCAACCAUGAUCUGGCCUUGAAUGUGAACUUCUCUUCUGCGAGACGGUGUCAUUGCGAAUAUAAGAAGUUAAACCUUCAUCUUCUCAAAUCCAUCUUCUCGAUCUGUUGAAUCAACAAAGUAAACUUAUUUUCUCAUACAUGGCUAAGGUCCUGUUCGUUUGCUCACCCAGAUGAUCCAUCUCGCUGAAGAUGCAAAUCAAUGUUCGUUUUGUGCAUUAUAAUGCUACAUCCAAAUGGAUCACCCAACUGAAUUUUUAAAAACUCAUCUCAAAUUCUCACCAAAAUGAAAGUGAGUCUUGAUGGUGCAUGGAUGCAGAUGCAUCUAGUUGAGUCCAAAAUGAUAAAUGACAAAAAUAACAUUUUAAAAAUAAAAUAUUAUUUUCAAACCCUAAAUUCUAUUUUUUGCAUAUACAUUUUUCUGAUAUAACCAAAAAAUGCAUUUUCUCGCAAAAAGUAAAAAACACACUUUCCCGCCAAAAUCGCAAGAUGCGUUUUUCCGCAAAACAACGUAAAACACACAUUUCCAUAAAAACACAUUUUUCGGCCAAACCAGUAAAAUCGUACUUUUCGACCAAAACCGAAAAAUCGCAUUUUCCCGUCAAAAAAAAAAAAAAACAUUUUCUCGCCAAAACCCAAAAAACACAUUUUCCUGCCAAACUCCAAGAAGCAUUUUCUGGCCAAAACCGCAAAAAACAUUUUCUCGCUAAAAUCGGAAAAACACAAUUUUCUCGCCAAAACCGGAAAAACGCAAUUUUUUCGCUAAAAUCGGAAAAAUGCAUUUUCUCGCUAAAACCAGAAAACACAAUUUUUCCGCCAAAACUGGAAAACGCAUUUUCCCGCCAAAACCGGAAAAACACAUUUUCCCGCCAAAACUGGAAAACAUAAUUUUCCCGCUAAAACUAGAAAACAAAAUUUUCCCGCCAAAACCAGAAAACACAAUUUUCCCGCCAAAACCGGAAAACACAAUUUUCCCACCAAAACCGGAAAACAGAAUUUUCCCGCCAAAACCGGAAAACGCAUUUUUCCGCCAAAACUGGAAAACGCAUUUUCUCGCCCAAAACUGGAAAAAUGAAUUUUCUCGUCGAAACCGCAAAAAUACUUUUCCCGCCAAAAUCGCGAAAAAACUUUCCCGCCAAAAUCGUGAAAAAAAACUUUUCCCGCCAAAAUCGUGAAAAAAAAACUUUUCCCGUCAAAAACACUUUUCCCGGCAAAACCGCAAAACACACUUUUCCCAUCCAAACCACAAAACGCAUUUUUCCGCCAAACACAUAAAAACGUAUUUUUCCGCCAAAACAACAAAAAUGCACUUUUUCGCCAAAAAUACAUUUUUCCUCAAAAACCGCAAAAAUAUUUUCUGCCAAAACUGUAAAAAUGCUAUUUUUCCACCGAGACGUAAAAAAUUAUAUUUUAAUCAUUUUAUUAACAAGUCCACCUGGAUGUAGAUGGAAACUAAAAAAUGAAAAGCAAACGAACAUAGUUGCAUUCAGAUGAUUCAUCUAGAUGCAUAACGAACAACACCCAGAUGGUCCAUCUAGAUGGAGCAUCUGGAUAAGACAUCUAGAUGGACCAUCUGGAUGCAUCUUCCAAAUGUACAAACGAACAGGGCCUAACUCGAAAGUUCUUCUCUCUGAUUUGAAAUCUAGUAAAUGUUCCUCUCCGGUUGAGGUUAGGUUGAUGCGGUGAUUUCCUCUCCCUGGCAAAGGGAAACAUGAACGGUUAGUGGCUACACUCAGUCGAUUCGUCUGGACUUCUUCUUAAAUCGUUAUGGGCAUCAAUAUGCUUCUCCUUGAAGCCAAGGUUGCUCCGGCGAUUUAAAAAAUAAAGGCCUUGUUCGUUUGUACAUCUGGAAGAUUCAUCCAGAUGGUCCAUCUAGAUGUGUUAUCUAGAUGCUCCAUCUGGGUGUUGUUCGUUUCUUCAUUUCGUCCAUGCAUCCAGAUGAAUCAUCUGAAUGCAACUAUGUUCGUUUGUAUUUCAUUUUUUAACUUCCAUCUGCAUCCAGGUGGACUUGUUAAUAAAAUAACUAAAAUAUAAUUUUUAACGUUUCGGCGGAAAAAUAACAUUUUUACCGUUUUGGCGGAAAAUAUUUUUGCAUUUUUGAGGAAAAAUAUGUUUUUGGCGAAAAAGUGUAUUUUCGUAGUUUCGGCGGAAAAUACCUUUUUAUGGGUUUGGCGGAAAAAUACGUUUUUGCGGUUUGGACGGGAAAAGUUUAUUUUUGCGGUUUUGGCGGGAAAACUGUUUUCGACGAGAAAAGUUUUUUUUCACGAUUUUGACGGGAAAGUUUUUUUCGUGAUUUUGGCGGGAAAAGCUUUUUCGCGAUUUUGGUGGGAAAAUUGUGUUUUCCGAUUUUGGCGGGAAAUUGUGUUUUUCUGGUUUUGGCAGGAAAAAUCACCUUUUGUUUUAUCUGUUAUUUUCGACCACAUUUUUUACAAGUUCUCAUUACUCUAGUGGUGAUCAACAGUUGUUGCCAGGUCAAACAACCAAGGUUCGAAUCUUUCAGUGGGCAUUUUAACACUUUCUUUUAUCUUACUUUUUCCCCUGUUAAAAAGUGGCCAAAUUUUUGGCUUCUUGUCUUUAAAUUCUUAGGACCCGGCUCUGAUCACAACUUUGCAUAUAUAAGCCCAAAAAGAAUUCGAGGCAAAAAAAAUAUCUACUUGUCUGAAAUCUUUCAAUUAGCAUCGACGUGUAGAUAUCUGACUGUCGUUCGUUUAUUUAUGGUUAAUUAACGGUCAGAAACUACAUGUAACUGUGACGUGUGAACAAUAUCGUUGACAGCUAAAUGAGUCUUUGAUAAUAUUUUAUUUGCCCAACGAUAAAGAGAAAUAGCAUGGUACGUGUUCAUUUACACAUACGUUAACUCCAAAGUGAGACAAAGAGAGUAAGAGUUAUAUAGAGAGAAGAUGGCCAUGACAACAAAGCCAGUUUCUUCAUUCGCCGUAUUUUUCAUUCUCUUUUUGGUUAUCUUUGAUAAAUUAACCAAUUAACUCCAUAUUUGUUUAAUUUUUAAAAUAAACUAUAUAAUUUAAAAUUUGUUUUCAUUAGUUUAAGGUAGUAAGGAUUAAUCAUUGUUAGAUAAUCUAAUUUUGUUAUUUAAUUUUUUUUUUUAUAAUUUUAAAAGUUAACAUCAACAAAUAUUUAAAUAUUUAACAUAUGGAGUUAUAGUAUUACAACAUUAAAUUAUAUCUAUUUAAUUUAUACUAUCUAUAAAUUCAAUCGAUCAUUUAUUGUUUAAAUCCAAUUAUUAAUAGCCAAAAAAAAAAUUUUAUUGGCCAAAAUUUACAUAAGCCAGAGACAAACAAAAUAUUUUAAAAUUUUUCAUCGAGCAUGCACGUGCACGUGAGGCAUCUGAUUGUCGUUCAAUUAGUUAAUUAACGGUUAAUCAAGUUCAUAAUCAGAUGUAAUUAAUUGUGACUAUGAACAAAAAAAUCAUUUGAAAGACAAUUUAUACGCAUAUUAAUAAAAAUAAAUACACAUUUUAUCUAUUAAUUUUUAGUUUUAUUUUAAGGUUUUAUUUUAAGGUUUUAUUUAUUUCCUAGUAAAUUUAUAGCAUUUAGAAUUUGAUUUAUAUUCUAUUUUAAAUUAAAAUACAUUAAUUAAAAUCUAAAACAUUAGUCUUUUAAAUACAAAAGUAGAAAAUUGAAAUAUCAGUCUCUUAUAUACGGAGAAAAUAAAUAAAUAUUGUUCGAUAUCUAAAGUAGAUUUAUACAGAAUGACAAACUUAAAGAUCAGUUUCUAAAAAUCCAAAUAAUAAUAUGCGAAAUUACUGUAGUGCAAUUCUAAUAAUAAAAAAAUGUAUAAAUACAUAUAUGAAUAUAUGCAGAGAUUUUUGUUAAGGUAAUACACAAUACAUAUUUAACCGUUAAGCGUAAGUGUCAAUUGAAUCCUGCAUGUGUCAUGGCUUGUGUAAUAAGAGUGAAAAUGGUCGAAGUAAUAAUGAAUAUGUGAAGAAAAACAUAUAAAAUAGUUAUUUUAGUAGUAUAUGUUUAUGAAUGUCACAACCGUCAGAUUAAUUUUAUGUCGCAAGGAUAGGGCCUACUUGGCUUCAUCCUGCUACAUUGUCUUAAACAUUGUCUCCAUCCUGCUACUUUCAUCCAUGUGACCUUGGAUUUUUAUUUUCUAGUGGUUAUUUCUGUUCUUAUCGGCCUAUGUGCCUGUCUUUCAGCCCUACUGAGUUUGCAUUGAACUUUUGUUUUCCUUGUUUUUGCAUGGUGUAUGAUCACCAAUGCCUUACCUUGUAUUUUGGCUUUUUGCGUUGGAUGGAAUUACUCAGUGUUAAAAAAGAAAAAAUUACAGUUAAUCCAACGGCUAUGGAUAAACAUCAAUACUGACGCGUGAACGACAGAAAAUAAUUAGGUUUAAUCCGCACGUAACUCACGAGAAGAGUGGAGAGAGAGAGAGAGAUGGGGAUAUCAGGUUCAAAGCGAGUCAAGACGACUCUAUCCAACUCGCCCGAGUUCCACUCGGCUUGUGACUCAGCAUACGAGGAGUCUCUUUCUCUCGCUCAGCAUGCUUUCGCCGGCGUUCGCCCUUACCAACUCCUCUCCGCCGCCGCCCACAUCCACCGGAACCUGUCAUCUUUCCCUCUAAUCAUCAGGUGGGUCCCUUCUCCUCCGAGUCAGUCCCAAGUCGCCUCAGCCCUCCGAGCCAUCGCCUCCCGAGUCACGGCGGUGGAUAUUCUCGGGCCGGAGGAGUUCAAGGAAUGGGCCAUCGAGGUUUUCACGGAAACCGUCCUGGGAAACGCGAGGAAAGCGGUAGCGAGUAGGAUUCCGUUAGGAAUCGCCGGAAUAGCUGGGAUCGGCGCCGUGACUCGGUCAGGACAGAACCUGAUCGGAGCCGCGAUUGGUGUGUACGCAGUUGGAGUUGCAACUUCGGUUUUUCUCAGCCUCUCUGACUAAAAAAAAACAUUAGUAGUGUUAUGUUUUGUUCUUCGCACGUGGUUCUGUUUCAAGAAAUGUACGGAGAUUUUCU
rnacentral:lncRNA from 1 species